UACGUAGGGGGCCAGCGUUGCUCGGAAUUACUGGGCGUAAAGGGUCCGUAGGCGGUGUGGCAAGUCGGGAGUGAAAUCUCUGGGCUUAACUCAGAGGCUGCUUCCGAAACUGCCGUGCUAGAGUGUGAGAGAGGCGAGUGGAAUUGCGGGUGUAGCGGUGAAAUGCGUAGAUAUCCGCAGGAACAUCCGAGGCGAAAGCGGCUCGCUGGAUCACAACUGACGCUGAGGGACGAAAGCGUGGGGAGCAAACAGG
rnacentral:rRNA from 1 species